rnacentral:rRNA from 1 species
GGGCCCGCACAAGCGGUGGAGCAUGUGGCUUAAUUCGAUGCAACGCGAAGAACCUUACCAGGCCUUGACAUGCACUAGACUGGCACUGAAAGGUGCCUUUCCUUCGGGACUAGUGCACAGGUGCUGCAUGGCUGUCGUCAGCUCGUGUCGUGAGAUGUUGCGUUAAGUCGCGCAACGAGCGCAACCCCUGUCCUUAGUUGCCAUCAGGUAAAGCUGGGCACUCUAGGGAGACAAACCCUCUCUGAGGGUGGGAAGGUGGGGAUGACGUCAAGUCAGGAUGGCCCUUACGGCCUGGGCUGCACACGUGCUACAAUGCCCGGUACAGAGGGACGCAAGACCGCGAGGUGGAGCAAAUCCUCAAAACCGGGCCCAGUUCAGAUUGCAGUCUGCAACUCGACUGCAUGAAGCCGGAAUCGCUAGUAAUGGCGUAUCAGCUACGACGCCGUGAAUACGUUCCCGGGCCUU